GAUGAACGCUGGCGGCGUGCCUAAUACAUGCAAGUCGAGCGAACAGACGAGGAGCUUGCUCCUCUGACGUUAGCGGCGGACGGGUGAGUAACACGUGGAUAACCUACCUAUAAGACUGGGAUAACUUCGGGAAACCGGAGCUAAUACCGGAUAACAUAUUGAACCGCAUGGUUCAAUAGUUAAAGACGGUCUUGCUGUCACUUAUAGAUGGAUCCGCGCCGCAUUAGCUAGUUGGUAAGGUAACGGCUUACCAAGGCAACGAUGGGUAGCCGACCUGAGAGGGUGAUCGGCCACACGGGAACUGAGAAAAGGUCCAGACUCCUACGGGAGGCAGCAGUAGGGAAUCUUCCGCAAUGGGCGAAAGCCUGACGGAGCAACGCCGCGUGAGUGAUGAAGGUCUUCGGAUCGUAAAACUCUGUUAUUAGGGAAGAACAAAUGUGUAAGUAACUAUGCACGUCUUGACGGUACCUAAUCAGAAAGCCACGGCUAACUACGUG
rnacentral:rRNA from 1 species